rnacentral:lncRNA from 1 species
UUAUUCCUUGGACUCUCUCAAAAUUAUAAUUGAAGGCACACACACAUGCGUGCACAACAAAUUAACAUUGAAGGGGGUGGUCGUGUAAUUUUUCUAUGAAUCAAGGGCAGGCGUUGGUGGAGGGCAGGAUACACCAGCUAGCUUUCCCUUGGCAUGUUAAAAAGCAAGAUUCUUGAACCACUUUUGCUUGGACUUUAUUUUCUUAUCUUGGAUUCUCGCUCUCACAAAGCAGAAAGAGGUGCAGAGAGAUAAAAAAAGAAAAAUAACUUUAAGGGAGAGAAAAAGGAAAAGGGUAGUGUGUGUGUGUAGACUCUGUACCAUACUAACACAAAUAGGAGUUACAAGUGAGGCAAAGGGGAAUGAGCAGAGCCAUGGCUAAAGAAAGCUGAAAGAGAAAUUAUAGGGCAAAAUUAAAUAGAACCACAAAGUAGAAGAGAAUGUAAAGAAGAAAAAAAGUUGCGAGUCUUUUACGUUACAUAGACUGAUCAUUAGUACUGAGCCCGUGGGCACAUUCACUUUAUAAUAAGAAGCAAC